GAUGAACGCUGGCGGCGUGCCUAAUACAUGCAAGUCGAGCGAACAGACGAGGAGCUUGCUCCUCUGACGUUAGCGGCGGACGGGUGAGUAACACGUGGGUAACCUACCUAUAAGACUGGGAUAACUUCGGGAAACCGGAGCUAAUACCGGAUAAUAUAUUGAACCGCAUGGUUCAAUAGUGAAAGACGGUUUUGCUGUCACUUAUAGAUGGAUCCGCGCCGCAUUAGCUAGUUGGUAAGGUAACGGCUUACCAAGGCAACGAUGCGUAGCCGACCUGAGAGGGUGAUCGGCCACACUGGAACUGAGACACGGUCCAGACUCCUACGGGAGGCAGCAGUAGGGAAUCUUCCGCAAUGGGCGAAAGCCUGACGGAGCAACGCCGCGUGAGUGAUGAAGGUCUUCGGAUCGUAAAACUCUGUUAUUAGGGAAGAACAAAUGUGUAAGUAACUAUGCACGUCUUGACGGUACCUAAGCAGAAAGCCACGGCUAACUACGU
rnacentral:rRNA from 1 species